AAUAGAUACCCAGGUAGUCCACGCUGUAAACGAUGUGUGCUAGACGUUGGGGAGCCUAGCUCUUCGGUGUCGCAGCUAACGCUUUAAGCACACCGCCUGGGGAGUACGGCCGCAAGACUAAAACUCAAAGGAAUUGACGGGGGCCCGCACAAGCGGUGGAGCAUGUGGUUUAAUUCGACGCAACGCGCAGAACCUUACCUACCCUUGACAUGCCAGGAACCUUGCAGAGAUGCGAGGGUGCCCGAAAGGGAGCCUGGACACAGGUGCUGCAUGGCCGUCGUCAGCUCGUGUCGUGAGAUGUUGGGUUAAGUCCCGCAACGAGCGCAACCCUUGCCAUUAGUUGCUACGAAAGGGGCACUCUAAUGGGACUGCCGGUGACAAACCGGAGGAAGGUGGGGAUGACGUCAGGUCCUCAUGGCCCUUAUGGGUAGGGCUACACACGUCAUACAAUGGCCGGUACAGAGGGCUGCCAAAGCGCGAGCUGGAGCCAAUCCCAGAAAACCGGUCGUAGUCCGGAUCGCAGUCUG
rnacentral:rRNA from 1 species